AGUGAACGCUGGCGGUAGGCCUAACACAUGCAAGUCGAACGGCAGCACAGUAAGAGCUUGCUCUUACGGGUUGCGAGUGGCGGACGUGUGAGGAAUACAUCGGAAUCUACUUUUUCGUGGGGGAUCACGUAGGGAAACUUACGCUCAUACCGCAUACGCCCUACGGUUGAGAGCGUGGGAUCUUCUGACCUUGCGCGAUUGAAUGAGCCGAUGUCGGAGUAGCUAGUUGGCGGGGUAAAGGCCCACCAAGGCGACGAUCCGUAGCUGGUCUGAGAGGAGGAUCAGCCACACUGGAACUGGAACACGGACCAGACGCCUACGGGAGGCAGCAGUGGGGAAUAUGGGACAAUGGGCGCAAGCCUGAUCCAGCCAGACCGCGUGGGUGAAGAAGGCCUUCGGGUUGUAAAGCCCUUUUGUUGGGAAAGAAAAGCAGCAGGUUAAGACCCCGCUGUUCUGACGGUACCCAAAGAAUAAGCACCGGCUAACUUCGUG
rnacentral:rRNA from 1 species